rnacentral:rRNA from 1 species
AUUGCCCCAGUAACGGCGAGUGAAGCGGCAACAGCUCAAAUUUGAAAUCUGGCCUCGGCCCGAGUUGUAAUUUGCAGAGGAUGUUUCUGGCGCGGUGCCUUCUGAGUUCCCUGGAACGGGACGCCAUAGAGGGUGAGAGCCCCGUACGGUUGGACGCCUAGCCUGUGUGAAACUCCUUCGACGAGUCGAGUAGUUUGGGAAUGCUGCUCAAAAUGGGAGGUAUAUCUCUUCUAAAGCUAAAUAUUGGCCAGAGACCGAUAGCGCACAAGUAGAGUGAUCGAAAGAUGAAAAGCACCUUGAAAAGGGGGUUAAACAGCACGUGAAAUUGUUGAAAGGGAAGCGCCCAUGACCAGACUUGUGCCCGGCGGAUCACCCAGCGUUCUCGCUGGGGCACUCCGCCGGGUCCAGGCCAGCAUCGGUUUUCGCCGGGGGAUAAAGGCUCUGGGGAACGUAGCUCCUCCGGGAGUGUUAUAGCCCUCUGCGUAAUACCCUGGCGGGGACCGAGGUACGCGCUCCGCAAGGAUGCUGGCGUAAUGGUCAUCAGCGACCCGUCUUGAAACACGGAUCAAGGAGUCGUCCAUUAGAGCGAGCGUUUGGGUGUCAAACCCGCACGCGUAAUGAAAGUGAACGUAGGUGAGAGCUUCGGCGCAUCAUCGACCGAUCCUGAUGUCCUCGGAUGGAUUUGAGUAUGAGUUUUACUGGACGGACCCGAAAGAUGGUGAACUAUGCCUGUAUAGGGUGAAGCCAGAGGAAACUCUGGUGGAGGCUCGCAGCGGUUCUGACGUGCAAAUCGAUCGUCAAAUAUGGGCAUGGGGGCGAAAGACUAAUCAAACCAUCUAGUAGCUGGUUACCGCCGAA